rnacentral:RNase_P_RNA from 1 species
UGAAGGGGAAGAGAUGGCCGCUCCUCAUUCCUCUCUGCAAAGAGAGGCAAUCGAGGGGAGGAAAGUCCGAGCUCCACAGGGCAGGGUGGUCCGUAACGCGGACGGUCCUGUCUCCCAAGAGACAGGAUAAGGAAAGUGCCACAGAAAAUAUACCGUCCCGGCGAAAGUCGGGAUAAGGGUGAAAAGGCGAGGUAAGAGCUCACCAGUGCACCGAGUGAUCGGAGCAGCUUGGUAAACCCCAUCCGGAGCAAGACCAAAUAGGCCCCGUUCCCCUGCUUCAUGCGGGGGUGAGAAAAGCCCAUUCAAAUUUAUUCCCGAUGUUGAUGCAUCGGGAAUAAAGGCGGGACGGGUAAGGUCGCUUGAGGUCCUGAGCAAUCAGGAUCCCAGAUAAAUGGCCAUCAUUCCAACUCCCCAUCGGAGAGCUGGGAUACAGAACUCGGCUUACGGUCCCCUUCAAACU